rnacentral:rRNA from 1 species
UACGUAGGGGGCAAGCGUUGUCCGGAUUUAUUGGGCGUAAAGAGCGUGUAGGCGGCCUUACAGGUCAGCUGUGAAAACUCGAGGCUCAACCUCGAGAGGUCGGUGGAAACCGUCUGGCUAGAGUCCGGAAGAGGAGAGUGGAAUUCCCGGUGUAGCGGUGAAAUGCGCAGAUAUCGGGAAGAACACCCGUGGCGAAGGCGGCUCUCUGGGACGGUACUGACGCUGAGACGCGAAAGCG